rnacentral:rRNA from 1 species
AACGAACGCUGGCGGCAGGCUUAACACAUGCAAGUCGAACGCGUGCAGCAAUGCACGAGUGGCGCACGGGUGAGUAACGCGUGGAUAUCUGCCUUUUGGUUCGGAAUAACCCCGGGAAACUGGGGCUAAUACCGGAUGGUUCCUACGGGAUAAAGAUUUAUCGCCAAAAGAUGAGUCCGCGUCCGAUUAGCUAGUUGGUGAGGUAAUGGCUCACCAAGGCGACGAUCGGUAGCUGGUCUGAGAGGACGAUCAGCCACACUGGGACUGAAACACGGCCCAGACUCCUACGGGAGGCAGCAGUGGGGAAUAUUGGACAAUGGGGGCAACCCUGAUCCAGCCAUGCCGCGUGAGUGAUGAAGGCCUUCGGGUUGUAAAGCUCUUUUGGCGGGGACGAUGAUGACGGUACCCGCAGAAUAAGCCCCGGCUAACUUCGUGCCGGCCGCCGCAGUAACAC